rnacentral:rRNA from 1 species
UACGUAGGGUGCAAGCGUUGUCCGGAAUUAUUGGGCGUAAAGAGCUCGUAGGCGGCUUGUCGCGUCGGCUGUGAAAACCUGGGGCUCAACCCUGGGCCUGCAGCCGAUACGGGCAAGCUAGAAUUCGGUAGGGGAGACUGGAAUUCCUGGUGUAGCGGUGAAAUGCGCAGAUAUCGGGAGGAACACCGGUGGCGAAGGCGGCGAUCUGGGUAGAUACUGACGCUGAGGUGCGAAAGCGUGGGGAGCAAACAGG